rnacentral:rRNA from 1 species
GACGAACGCUGGCGGCGUGCCUAAUACAUGCAAGUCGAACGCUUCUUUCCUCCCGAGUGCUUGCACUCAAUUGGAAAGAGGAGUGGCGGACGGGUGAGUAACACGUGGGUAACCUACCCAUCAGAGGGGGAUAACACUUGGAAACAGGUGCUAAUACCGCAUAACAGUUUAUGCCGCAUGGCAUAAGAGUGAAAGGCUCUUUCGGGUGUCGCUGAUGGAUGGACCCGCGGUGCAUUAGCUAGUUGGUGAGGUAACGGCUCACCAAGGCAACGAUGCAUAGCCGACCUGAGAGGGUGAUCGGCCACACUGGGACUGAGACACGGCCCAGACUCCUACGGGAGGCAGCAGUAGGGAAUCUUCGGCAAUGGACGAAAGUCUGACCGAGCAACGCCGCGUGAGUGAAGAAGGUUUUCGGAUCGUAAAACUCUGUUGUUAGAGAAGAACAAGGACGUUAGUAACUGAACGUCCCCUGACGGUAUCUAAUCAGAAAGACACGGCUAACUACGUG